AUGAUGUUCUUUCCUAUUCUAAAUCAAUUUUUCAAAUUGACCCAGCCCUUAAAUAAUGAAGAAGCCUUGAAGUUUCAUUUGAGCUUAAUAAAAAAUUUGAAUAUUAUACCAAAGACUAUACAGCAUUUAUUAAGAUCUUACUCUAACAUGUGUAACCCAGUGGAAUUCCUUGUCAGCUUUGGGAUGGGGGAGGAAAAAGGUGAGAAAAAGAACAUGAAUCAUGUAACCAUGGAAAAAUACUUAAAAAGAAAGAAUUUUAAAAGAAUAUAAUAUCAUUUUACUUUAGAAAUCAUACAAAAUAUUUCCAUAUUAACCAAAUCAGAUUACAAAGGGAAAAAAGCAAGAAAAUAAUACUUCUGUUUCCACUCAGAGUUCAUCAGUUCUCUCUCUGGAGGUGGGUAGCAUUUUUCAUUCUAGGUACUUUGGAAUUUUCUUAGAUCAUUGUAUUAAUUAGAGUAGCCAAGUGUUUCACCGAUGAUCACCAGUACAGUUGAUCAUCACUGGUGUUACUGUGCACAAUGAUGUCCUGGCUCUUCUCACUUUACUUUGCAUCAGUUCAUAAAGGGGUUGCCAUGUUUUUCUGAACACACACACACACACACACACACACACAACAUACACAUAUCAUUUUCUACAGCAAAACAGUACUCCAUCAUAAUCAUAUAUCAAAACUUGUUGAGCCACUCACCAAUCAAUGAGCAUCCCUUCACUUUCCAAUUCUUUGCCACCACAAAAAGAACUAUAAAUAUUUUUGUACAAAAAGACCUUUUCCUAUUUCUCCCUUUGGGGUCCAGACCGAGUAAUGAUAUUACUGGGUCAAAAGAUAUACACAGUUUUAUAGCCCUUGGGCAUAGUUCCAGAUUGUUCUCCAAAAAUGGGUGAACUAUGGUUCUUCAUCCAUAAAAUAAGGGCAUUACAAUAGAGUCUUAUAAAGUCCCUUUUUUCUUUCUAUCCAUGUUCUACUUGAGAUGCCAUGAUUUUCAACAGCACAUAGGCUUGGCCAGGACCACCAGUGAAAGUCCCUGCCCACUGCUAUCUUCAGUCACAAGAACCGGAACACAGUCCUCAAUCUUCCUUCUCCACUCACUCCCACUCUGACUUACCCAGGAUAUAGUAAGGGAACAAGGAUCACCAGCUGGGCAUGUUCCUUACAAAAGGCUCCUGACCUCUGACUCAAAGCAUUCUUUUUUACUUCACUAAUUUAUCCAUGUUGACAGAAAGCUUAUGGCUUCUUUUGCAGAGAAAAGCUUAAGAAUAUUACGGUGCAUUAAUUCUGGAUUCGUCAGCACCAAGCCAUGAUUAGUUAUAUGACUAGAGAGCAAAGGCUCAUUUAAUUCUUUGUAGUCAUAUCUUCAGUGACUAAUAUAGUGCUUAGGCCACAGCAAGUACCUAAUAUAUACUUAUCCUGUUGUUGUUCAGUCAUUUCAUCAUGCCUGACUCCUUGUGACCCUAUUUGGGGUUUCCUUUAAUAUAUACUUGAUUGGUGCUGAUUGAUCAAUAAACAUUGUAGUUGCCCAGAACUGUCCUGUGUA
rnacentral:lncRNA from 1 species